ensembl:misc_RNA
UCCUCGGCACACGAGGUCUCCAGUGCGGCUGCGCGGUCGGCGGAAGCCCGUGAGGCUUGUACUGCGGCUGCGCAGACUCCGGCGCGCACGCUCUGUGGCUUCCGGCGGCUCCUCCCUUCAGCCUGGGCCCCUCGGGGCGCCGUGCAGCCUACGCUUUCCG